rnacentral:rRNA from 1 species
GACGAACGCUGGCGGCGUGCUUAACACAUACAAGUCGAGCGAUGAAGCUCCUUCGGGAGUGGAUUAGCGGCGGACGGGUGAGUAACACGUGGGUAACCUGCCUCAUAGAGGGGAAUAGCCUUCCGAAAGGAAGAUUAAUACCGCAUAAGAUUGUAGUACCGCAUGGUACAGCAAUUAAAGGAGCAAUCCGCUAUGAGAUGGACCCGCGUCGCAUUAGCUAGUUGGUGAGGUAACGGCUCACCAAGGCGACGAUGCGUAGCCGACCUGAGAGGGUGGUCGGCCACAUUGGGACUGAGACACGGCCCAGACUCCUACGGGAGGCAGCAGUGGGGAAUAUUGCACAAUGGGGGAAACCCUGAUGCAGCAACGCCGCGUGAGUGAUGACGGUCUUCGGAUUGUAAAACUCUGUCUUCAGGGACGAUAAUGACGGUACCUGAGGAGGAAGCCACGGCUAACUUCGUGCCAGCCGCCGCCGUAACAC